GGUAGCUUAUCAAUGGCCGUAACAAGAUUUGUUGCUGUCCAUGCAGCUGCUACAGCUGCAAAUCCCAGGCCAAUAAGCGCCAGUCGAUCUUCAGGCUGAUCCCAAACAUUUCGAACAGACUUAAUAAUAUCGAGGGAAGUAGAAGACUCAGAGCUGCCUCCAACAGCCUUUACAACAACACUGCCAGAAUGUCUGUUUGAAAUGGGGAAGACAGUGAGCUUCUGAGAAGUGUUCAGAAGGGUAAAGAUUUUGCGAGGUGUCAACAAUGGCGGAGCCGGAGGUAGAGUAGCAGCAAUGGAAGCCAUGAUUGGUGAGUAGAAGGCGAGAUCAAUCAACUUCGAGCGAAAAAUUUAGACUCCCAAAUCAAAAAUUAAGUCGAAAUUUUGGGAUUAUUGGGAAUUCCUGGCCUCGGAUUGACGAACCUCUUGAAAGAUAAGGCGUUGGUGCUUUCUUGCCU
rnacentral:misc_RNA from 1 species